rnacentral:tRNA from 1 species
GCCGUGGCUCAGUGGGAGAACAUCUGCUUUGGCUGCAGAAGGGCUCAGGUUCGAUCCUCAUCAUCUCCA